rnacentral:lncRNA from 1 species
GUGUAGAUUGAUUAAUUUUAAAAUAUAAGAUGAUUGUGGAUGUUAGUCUUCCAUGCGUUUAACACCGGACCAAAGGAAGGUGUUAUUUGGCAGGAAUUCGAACAUGCUUGUGGUGGUAAAUAUGAGACGAUUAUUUGGUUUUCCGUGUGAAUAUUAAAUCGGCCCAAAGGAAGGUUUAAUAUUUGACAGGAGUUUAUUGUCAAUGAUCAUUACACCAAGAGUACCAAUUACAAGUUGUUUUUCUGUCCAAAGACUAAAGUCAAUGUUGUGCUAGGU